GAUCAUGACUCAGGACGAACGCUGGCGGCGCGCCUAACACAUGCAAGUCGAACGAUCGAGAGAGAGCUUGCUUUCUCGAGCGAGUGGCUAACGGGUGAGUAACGCGUGAGGAACCGUGCCUCAAAGAGGGGGACGAACAGUUGGAACGACUGCUAAUACCGCAUAAGCCCACCGACCCGGCCAUCGGGUAGGAGGGAAAAGGAGCAUCGCUUUGAGAUGGCCUCGCGUCCGAUUAG
rnacentral:rRNA from 1 species